rnacentral:lncRNA from 1 species
GAGGAAGAGAGCAGCUCGCUUCUAACUGGACUGCACGUUGGUGACAGCGUCCCAAGCUGGUGACAGACCCACUCUGUAACUUUCAGCUAGAUUCAGCCACCAGAUCCCAGAAACAUGACCCUUGCUGGACAAGCACGCCGAGGAGGUGCGGAAAAACAAGGAGCUGAAGGAAGAGGCCUCCAGGUAAAGCCUAGAGGCCAAAGAACUUUCCAGGUCAGCCGGACAGCUCCAGCAGCUCCACGUUCCAGGCAGCCUCGCCCGCCGGCUGCGCUCCCAGCACUGGGGUUUGGGGGGAGGGGGGUGGCCAAGGGGCGUUUCCUCUGCUUUUGGUGUUUGUACAUGUUAAGAAUUGACCAGUGAAGCCAUCCUAUUUGUUUCCGGGGAACAAUGACGGGGUGGGAGAGGGGAGAGGAGAGAGUUUGGGAAAGGGAGAUGGAGAAGAACUCAAGGACAUUGCAACCCUGCCCGGCGCAGAUCUGAUUUUCACAUCUCUACCUGGACAUUGAGCCUCCAGGCACCAUGUUGAGGAGAGAUGAAAACCAGGGCGGUAGAACUUCAGGGUGAAGGACAGAGUCCUGGGUGGGGCAGCGGCUGCAGGGCGCACCAGAGAACCCAGCCAGAGGGGUUGUGAGUACCAGUGGUGUUGCUUCCACCCUGCAGCAGGUGGGAUGAGGUCUGUGUGUGUGUGUGAACCAUCAUUUUUUGAUCAUCAUGACCAAUGAAACAUUGACUCC